CUAGGACACUUCGAGGAAUGGCAGGUGCAUCUUCCAGUUGAAGCACCAAACACGAACCACUUCAGCAAUUGAUAAAUUCGAGGAUCGUCUUCACUAGGACACUUCGAGGAAUGGCAGGUGCAUCUUCCAGUUGAAGCACCAAACACGAACCACAUCAGCAAUUGGUAAAUUCGAGGAUCGUCUUCACUAGGACACUUCGAGGAAUGGCAGGUGCAUCUUCCAGUUGAAGCACCAAACA